UGGGGAAUUUUGGACAAUGGGGGAAACCCUGAUCCAGCCAUCCCGCGUGUGCGAUGAAGGCCUUCGGGUUGUAAAGCACUUUUGGCAGGAAAGAAACGUCAUGGGUUAAUACCCCGUGAAACUGACGGUACCUGCAGAAUAAGCACCGGCUAACUACGUGCCAGCAGCCGCGGUAAUACGUAGGGUGCAAGCGUUAAUCGGAAUUACUGGGCGUAAAGCGUGCGCAGGCGGUUCGGAAAGAAAGAUGUGAAAUCCCAGAGCUCAACUUUGGAACUGCAUUUUUAACUACCGGGCUAGAGUGUGUCAGAGGGAGGUGGAAUUCCGCGUGUAGCAGUGAAAUGCGUAGAUAUGCGGAGGAACACCGAUGGCGAAGGCAGCCUCCUGGGAUAACACUGACGCUCAUGCACGAAAGCGUGGUGAGCAAACAG
rnacentral:rRNA from 1 species